GAUGAACGCUGGCGGCGUGCCUAAUACAUGCAAGUCGAGCGAACGGACGAGAAGCUUGCUUGUCUGAUGUUAGCGGCGGACGGGUGAGGAACACGUGGAUAACCUACCUAUAAGACUGGGAUAACUUCGGGAAACCGGAUCUAAUACCGGAUAAUAUUUUGAACCGCAUGGUUCAAAAGUGAAAGACGGUCUUGCUGUCACUAAUAGAUGGAUCCGCGCUGCAUUAGCUAGUUGGUAAGGUAACGGCUUACCAAGGCAACGAUGCAUAGCCGACCUGAGAGGGUGAUCGGCCACACUGGAACUGAGACACGGUCCAGACUCCUACGGGAGGCAGCAGUAGGGAAUCUUCCGCAAUGGGCGAAAGCCUGACGGAGCAACGCCGCGUGAGCGAUGAAGGUCUUCGGAUCGUAAAACUCUGUUAUUAGGGAAGAACAUAUGUGUAAGUAACUGUGCACAUCUUGACGGUACCUAAUCAGAAAGCCACGGCUAACUACGUG
rnacentral:rRNA from 1 species